rnacentral:lncRNA from 1 species
AAAAUGGUUUACUUUAACUACUAAUUCUCAAAAAUGACUUUUUAAAAAACUGCAUUCAAUUACAGUAGCAUUCUAGUUACCUUGAAAUAUCCCCCCAGUACCAUUCUGCAUCCUGAAGAGAAACAGAACUGUCCUUCAUUCCAUUUGGAACUGCUGAAGUCAUUGGCUUAGGUGGCUUUGGUGGAAGAGCUAGAAGAGAAAUGAAUAUUACUCUGUAGAUGUAAAUUAUUUACUGUUUUCUAAUUUCCUCAGGAGCAGCU